rnacentral:rRNA from 1 species
CAGCAGCCGCGGUAAUACGAAGGGUGCAAGCGUUACUCGGAAUUACUGGGCGUAAGCGUGCGUAGGUGGUGGUUUAAGUCCGUUGUGAAAGCCCUGGGCUCAACCUGGGAAUUGCAGUGGAUACUGGGUCACUAGAGUGUGGUAGAGGAUAGUGGAAUUUCCGGUGUAGCAGUGAAAUGCGUAGAGAUCGGAAGGAACAUCUGUGGCGAAGGCGACUAUCUGGGCCAACACUGACACUGAGGCACGAAAGCGUGGGGAGCAAACAGGAUUAGAUACCCCAGUAGUCCCUGUCUCUUAUACA